rnacentral:rRNA from 1 species
UACGUAGGGUGCGAGCGUUGUCCGGAAUUACUGGGCGUAAAGAGCUCGUAGGCGGAUCUUUAAGUCAGGGGUGAAAUCCCGAGGCUCAACCUCGGAACUGCCUUUGAUACUGGGGAUCUCGAGUCCGGGAGAGGUGAGUGGAACUGCGAGUGUAGAGGUGAAAUUCGUAGAUAUUCGCAAGAACACCAGUGGCGAAGGCGGCUCACUGGCCCGGAACUGACGCUGAGGUGCGAAAGCGUGGGGAGCAAACAGG